rnacentral:lncRNA from 1 species
UCCUCCUAAAAAGUCAGAAAUGAGAGAUAAAGUUGAGAACAAGAGGGAUCGAAACGAGUUGAGAUUCAAGAUUCAUAUUAUUUUUAUUACUAGUUCAAUAUUUGGUAUUAUUUUUUAUACAAUAUAAUUAGGGAUGUGAAAAUUGUCGAAUUCCUCGUGAGCAUACAUUAAAAAAAGUAUAGGUUGAUAACCAGCAAGACAUAAGUGCUUUUAUUAAUUAUUUCUCCCUAUUUUGAAAAUUCAUACGUAUUAGCGAUCAGGGAGGAGUUUAAUAGUUUUCAUAGUGAUAUUAUCUGUAGCAAAUAAAAUGUGUCGACGAUCAUAUUUGUCAACAUUUACAUAAUAUGUUUACAUUCAAAAGGAUUUAUACCACUUUCAUAUCCCUAAAUAUAAUAUGUACAGUCAAUGAUUGAUAGAUGAUAUAUAAUAAUUAAUUAAUAUUCUGCCCAUUUUGUUCGACUCCCGGAGUCAUCUCCUUUCCUAUUUUGGAAAGUGAAUUAAGAAGGAAGAUGAUAAUUAUCGCGCCGUUACCUUUAUAGUUUCUCAGAGCCUUUCCUUAUCCAAAAAGAAACAUAAAAAGGCCCAAAAUCAGUUGGUAUUGCUUAGCCCUUAGUCCCUCUUCCCAACUAUAGAAUUAUAAUUAUUUAAUAAUAGUUGGGAAUCGUUCAUAGCUCCUUAACAAGAGCUAGUUCGAAUUCAACCAAUCAACAGUCAGAACAAUGUCGAGAGGAAAUAAGGAAACAAAUCGACAGCUGACAAAACAAUAUGGUGUAAAUUUUUAUGUUACUCACUCAAGUAACGUCGUGUGAUAUAAUAUGUAUUAUUGAACAUUUACCGGGACAGAUUGAAUCAGAAUUGAAGCUGUCUCUUCUCCUUUAUAAAGCGGGCUCAAAUGUGAAUGCCAAUAAGAUUUUAUGCAACUCUAGACACAGAUCCACGGAAUCUUUUAUCUCUCACUCAGCCACUCACUCACUCUUAUGACCCUCUAGAAAUAUGUACUACCAUUAAAUCAAACCAUCACUCAAUAUCAAAGAACAACGAAUAAUAUCAUAACCAGUUUUUUUCCUUUGAAGUAAAGAAAGAAAGACCCAACCAACCAACCAACCAACCAUGUACUAUGUAUAAUAUUAUUAUUUAGUAGACAAAGGAGACGUCGAACACCAUGGCAUAGAACUACAAGACUGCAUGCAUUAUCCUCCUCUUCCAUGAUUCAAAAAUACAACUCGGACAUGGGAGAACAUGAUGAUCAUUGAUUUUUCUUCUCAUAAUGAUUAUCAUGAACAAAUGGUUCAAAGUCGUCGAGUCGCGUCUCCCUACUCCAACAACAAUAUGGUUACAAGUCACAAAAAACAAAACAAAAUAAAACACCUUGAAUGAUGACAGGCAAAAAAUAUAAAGUAAAAUGACUUUACUUGCUCCUGCUUAACUCAUCAUUAUCAUAAUCAUCAUUGGAGGGUAGUCGUGGACUCGUAGUCGUAGUAGUACUAGUAGUAGAUGGUGGAAAGGAGGGAACACACGGAAUAUAUACAAAUAAUAAUAAGUUUACUAAGUAACAACUAUUCCAACUUCCAGGUACAUACAAGCAGAAGAGAAGAAACGGGGGAAAAGAAGAAAAAAGCGUGCAAGAUUCUAAAAAUGAUCUCAAGAAUCUUUACCAUGUAUUAUCAUUAUUUAUUAUUUAUUUUAUUAGUAUUAUUUAUUACCAUUAGUUUCAAAUCCAUAUUAUUUUGAACCAA